GUGUGUAUGGCUCAGUUGGUAGAGUAUUUGCCUAGCAUGUGGGUGGUUCUAGGUUCAAUCCCCAGUACCCCCA
rnacentral:tRNA from 1 species